ACUCUCUCAAGUUGCUCCUGACCUGGAGAGUUUCCAGUACUCUACCAGUGUUGGCUACAAGAGGGAGAGUCAAGCAGAGGCCUGCCCAUUCCAUUCCUAGCUUGGCCAGUGGCUAGUAAGUGGAAGGCAAUCUGCUACAAAU